rnacentral:rRNA from 1 species
AGCGAACGCUGGCGGCAGGCUUAACACAUGCAAGUCGAGCGGGCAUAGCAAUAUGUCAGCGGCAGACGGGUGAGUAACGCGUGGGAACGUACCUUUUGGUUCGGAACAACUGAGGGAAACUUCAGCUAAUACCGGAUAAGCCCUUACGGGGAAAGAUUUAUCGCCGAAAGAUCGGCCCGCGUCUGAUUAGCUAGUUGGUGAGGUAAUGGCUCACCAAGGCGACGAUCAGUAGCUGGUCUGAGAGGAUGAUCAGCCACAUUGGGACUGAGACACGGCCCAAACUCCUACGGGAGGCAGGAGGUGGGAAUAUUGGACAAUGGGCGCAAGCCUGAUCCAGCCAUGCCGGGUGAGUGAUGAAGGCCCUAGGGUUGUAAAGCUCUUUUGUGCGGGAAGAUAAUGACGGUACCGCAAGAAUAAGCCCCGGCUAACUUCGUG